rnacentral:tRNA from 1 species
GCGCCGGUGGUGUAAUGACGUAAAGCAUUCCCGCUCUAUGAGCAGGAGGUGCAGGUUCGAGUCCCGCCUGGCGCU